rnacentral:sRNA from 1 species
GUUGGGUGUGGUGGCACACACCUGUAAUCUCAGCAAUUUGGGAGGCUGAGGCAGGAGGACCACCACAAGUUCAAGGUCAGACUGGGCAACUUAGUGAGAUCCUGUCUCAA